CUACGGGAUGCUGCAGUGAGGAAUAUUGCACAAUGGGGGGAACCCUGAUGCAGCAACGCCGCGUGGAGGAUGACGCAUUUCGGUGUGUAAACUCCUUUUAAAUGUCAAGAAAAUGACGGUAGCAUAUGAAUAAGCACCGGCUAACUCCGUGCCAGCAGCCGCGGUAUUACGGAGGGUGCAAGCGUUACUCGGAAUCACUGGGCGUAAAGGACGCGUAGGCGGGUUGGAAAGUCAGGUGUGAAAUCCUACAGCUUAACUGUAGAACUGCACUUGAAACUUCUAAUCUAGAGUAUGGGAGGGGGAGAUGGAAUUAGUGGUGUAGGGGUAAAAUCCGUAGAUAUCACUAGGAAUACCUAAAGCGAAGGCGAUCUCCUGGAACAUUACUGACGCUAAGGCGUGAAAGCGUGGGGAGCAAACAGGAUUAGAUACCCUUGUAGUC
rnacentral:rRNA from 1 species